rnacentral:rRNA from 1 species
GAUGAACGCUGGCUACAGGCUUAACACAUGCAAGUCGAGGGGAAACGACGGGGAAGCUUGCUUCCCCGGGCGUCGACCGGCGCACGGGUGAGUAACGCGUAUCCAACCUGCCUCUGACUGAGGGAUAACCCGUCGAAAGUCGGCCUAAUACCUCAUGGUAUCGUCUGCGGGCAUCCAACGACGAUUAAAGAUUUCAUCGGUCAGGGAUGGGGAUGCGUCUGAUUAGCUUGUUGGCGGGGUAACGGCCCACCAAGGCUACGAUCAGUAGGGGUUCUGAGAGGAAGGUCCCCCACAUUGGAACUGAGACACGGUCCAAACUCCUACGGGAGGCAGCAGUGAGGAAUAUUGGGCAAUGGGCGAGAGCCUGAACCAGCCAAGUAGCGUGCAGGAAGACGGCCCUAUGGGUUGUAAACUGCUUUUAUGCGGGGAUAAAGUGAGGGACGUGUCCCUCAUUGCAGGUACCGCAUGAAUAAGGACCGGCUAAUUCCGUG